rnacentral:rRNA from 1 species
AACGAACGCUGGCGGCAUGCCUAACACAUGCAAGUCGAACGAGACCUUCGGGUCUAGUGGCGCACGGGUGCGUAACGCGUGGGAACCUGCCCUUAGGUUCGGAAUAACUCCCCGAAAGGGGUGCUAAUACCGGAUAAUGUCUUCGGACCAAAGAUUUAUCGCCUUUGGAUGGGCCCGCGUUGGAUUAGCUAGUUGGUAGGGUAAAAGCCUACCAAGGCGACGAUCCAUAGCUGGUCUGAGAGGAUGAUCAGCCACACUGGGACUGAGACACGGCCCAGACUCCUACGGGAGGCAGCAGUGGGGAAUAGUGGACAAUGGGCGAAAGCCUGAUCCAGCAAUGCCGCGUGAGUGAUGAAGGCCUUAGGGUUGUAAAGCUCUUUUAACCGGGAUGAUAAUGACAGUACCGGGAGAAUAAGCGCCGGCUAACUACGUG